AUACUUACCUGAUGGGAGAUACUAUAAUUAUGAUGGUAGUUUUUUUUUUCUUUCAGAGCAAGGCUUUUCUAUUGCACUCCUUAUGUGCUGAUUUCUGUGAUUUCCCCAAAUUUCGAAAACAGUACUGCAUACUUUAUGGUAGUGGGGGACUAUGUUUGUGCUUACCACUG